UGGGGAAUAUUGCACAAUGGGCGCAAGCCUGAUGCAGCCAUGCCGCGUGUAUGAAGAAGGCCUUCGGGUUGUAAAGUACUUUCAGAGGGGAGGAAGGGAGUAAAGUUAAUACCUUUGCUCAUUGACGUUACCCGCAGAAGAAGCACCGGCUAACUCCGUGCCAGCAGCCGCGGUAAUACGGAGGGUGCAAGCGUUAAUCGGAAUUACUGGGCGUAAAGCGCACGCAGGCGGUUUGUUAAGUCAGAUGUGAAAUCCCCGGGCUCAACCUGGGAACUGCAUCUGAUACUGGCAAGCUUGAGUCUCGUAGAGGGGGGUAGAAUUCCAGGUGUAGCGGUGAAAUGCGUAGAGAUCUGGAGGAAUACCGGUGGCGAAGGCGGCCCCCUGGACGAAGACUGACGCUCAGGUGCGAAAGCGUGGGGAGCAAACAGG
rnacentral:rRNA from 1 species